rnacentral:rRNA from 1 species
AACGAACGCUGGCGGCAUGCCUAACACAUGCAAGUCGAACGAGACCUUCGGGUCUAGUGGCGCACGGGUGCGUAACGCGUGGGAACCUGCCCUUAGGUUCGGAAUAACUCCCCGAAAGGGGUGCUAAUACCGGAUAAUGUCUUCGGACCAAAGAUUUAUCGCCUUUGGACGGGCCCGCGUUGGAUUAGCUAGUUGGUAGGGUAAAAGCCUACCAAGGCGACGAUCCAUAGCUGGUCUGAGAGGAUGAUCAGCCACACCGGGACUGAGACACGGCCCAGACUCCUACGGGAGGCAGCAGUGGGGAAUAUUGGACAAUGGGCGAAAGCCUGAUCCAGCAAUGCCGCGUGAGUGAUGAAGGCCUUAGGGUUGUAAAGCUCUUUUACCCGGGAUGAUAAUGACAGUACCGGGAGAAUAAGCUCCGGCUAACUCCGUG